UACGUAGGUGGCGAGCGUUGUCCGGAUUUACUGGGCGUAAAGGAUGCGUAGGCGGAUAUUUAAGUGAGAUGUGAAAUACCCGAGCUUAACUUGGGUGCUGCAUUUCAAACUGGAUAUCUAGAGUGUGGGAGAGGAGAAUGGAAUUCCUAGUGUAGCGGUGAAAUGCGUAGAGAUUAGGAAGAACACCAGUGGCGAAGGCGACUUGCUGGGCCGGACCUGACGCUGAGACGCGAAGGCGUGGGGAGCGAACGGG
rnacentral:rRNA from 1 species